UUUCAUUUAAUGGUACCAAAGUUGAUGUAUUAUUAUUACAAAAAGGAGAAUUUUUGAGACAAAAAAGCUAUAGAAUUCUUCAUCUUAUCUUUUUCUUCCCUUUGUUUUCUUCAUCUUUCAUUUCGGCAAUGGCAGAAGAUAAAUCUCAAGUGUUUGAAAAAUCAAGGUUUCAGUAUGGGAAUAACAUGAAAUUACAUGAUCAGAAUGAAAACUGCAUAUCAUCUUCUGAUUCAUCGGUGGAAGAUUCCGUGUUUUCAAAUGAGUCAUCAUCUUCUUCCACCAUCGAUACGGCAGAUGAUGCAUCUUCUUCUCUGUCUGCAGAUUCAAGUGGAGGUUUAUAUGAUCUAACAGAUCUCAUGGAAGAAUUGCCCAUCAAAAGAGGGCUCUCCAAGUUUUAUAAUGGGAAAUCAGAGUCUUUUACAGCAUUAUCAAUGGUGACGAGCAUAGAGGAUUUGGUGAAGAAAGAAACACCUUACAAAAGAAAAAUGAAGGCUUCAAAAAGCUAUGCAGCUGGCUUGAAUAGCUAUAAACCUUACACUCUUCCUAAGCCCAUUAUAUCAAAGAAAACUCCAAAGGCUUCUUUUUCACCAUCUUUUCCAAGAAAAAGAGGAAAUAUUUUCACGGCAGAUACUCACUGACUCCUCUUUUAAUUAAUGUCAAAUUUCUUCGUGUGUCUUUCAAGCACACAAGGCCAAGCAUUCUGCUAGACAUCCAUGCCUUUACUUUUCUACACAGAAAGAAGGAAAGGGAUUGUACAUAAGAAAGGUGAUCAACGAUGCCUAGGUGCGAAACUGUGAAUAUAGUCCUAUUGGGCUGAGAUUCAUCCGAGGCUACAACUGAUAUAUUUGAGUUGGAAGCUAACCCAGUAACGAAGAGUAAAAGUGACACUCAAAAAUUGGUUUGAACCACAGACAUUUGGAAUGUGUGAUUAGCUACGGACGGCCACAAAUUUAUUGAUUAUAUGGCAAAAUUAUCAGAAGUUCGUUCUACAUGUAACAAUAUGGAUUGAUCAGCGAGCCAAAUUAUCAAAUACUUGACCUUCAAAUGGACACAAUCCAAGGGCAUUGCUAGAUUUUCUUC